CUUGUUCAAGGAUGGAAGAGGAUCCAUAAGCAAGAUCUGAGUCUUGACAAUUGAAAAUUGAUCAUUCAAUCCAAUGAGGAAUUGCAUGAUUUGGUCUUCAACACGAUAAACGUGAGCAAGAGUUGAAGCUUAGCAACGACAUUGAUGAAUGCAAGAACAAUUAGGAAGAGGUCUAUGUAAAUUAAGUUCUUCCCAAAGUGAGCGCAUUUCAAUGAAGUAUUUUUACCUCCUUGCUUUAGAUUGUUGAUGCAAGAACGAAGACUAGAAAUUCUGAUUCUAUCAGCUUUUGAAAAUCUCUCUUUCAGGUCCUCCCAAACAUCUAAAGCGUAAUCGUGAAAAACAAUAGUUUAAGCAAUGGAUUCAGAAACUGAAUUGAUAAUCCAUGAAUGAAUUAGAUGGUUGCACCGUUCCCACCUGCUCUGUUCAAAUCCAAAGCUUCAGGUUGUUGAAUAGCGUCAUUGAUGAAGGCGAGUUUGUUCUUCACUUCCAACGCGCGAUUCAUCGACCGACUCCAAGCUAAGUAAUUUGAGCCAUUGAGCUUGGGAAUGAUCUUAAUAGAAUUUGGUCCUUCGCUCGGAUGAACGUUGAAAACCAAUUCUACAUCUUGUUGCGGUGCAGCUUAAAUGAUGAUAGGAGCUUGACAAGGAGGCAUGAUUCAAUUGAGGAAUCAAAAAAAUCAAUGCGUAAAAACACAAAAUUCAAGGAGUAGAAAGAGAAGAAAAGAGAUGAAAAUCACCGAUUGAAACAAGAAAAAGGAAGUAGAGAAGCAAAGAGGUAGAAGAUGAAGAAUGCGGCGGAAACAACCGUAACAGAAAACAGUUAGGAUCGGAACUUCUCUCUCAUGAGAGAGAAAUCUGAUACCAUAUUAUGAGAAAUGAAUGAAACUCUUAAUUCUCAUUAGAUGAAAAGAGUGCAGUACAAUGAUAUUUAUACAAAUGAGGGAAAGUAUGCUAAGUACUGUGAACUAGAAACUAGAGAAUUGCUACUCUACUGGAUAACUUGCUCCACAAGUUAUCUCUAAUAGUAA
rnacentral:lncRNA from 1 species